CUCAGAAGAAGUAUAGAAGCCUUGAUUGCAACAUUUCAAACAACAUUUUUAGUUAUUUUCUCUUAUAUUUCGCUUUCAUCGAAUUACUCACUCUUUUGGAAUUUGUUUUUUUUUUGUACUCUCUAUCUGAUUCUCAAAUUUAAGACUCGGUAUUUGAGGUUUUUCCUUUUUUGCUCGACUGACAGUUGAGAGGAACAAGAAAUGAUAAUGGAGCUGAUUAUGAUUAUAAGCUUCAUCAAAC
rnacentral:lncRNA from 1 species